CGAUAAUAGGACAACUUCCAAAAUGUAUGAUAGAACCGACUGAGAGAGCCUUUUUAAAAGUUGGUGUAGAUUACUUUGGUAGAUAGAAAUAACAAUAAUCAGGAGUCACGUAAAGCGAUAUGGUGUUAUAUUUACAUGCAUAUCAUCGUGAGCAGUACAUCUUGAGGAAGACCUUUCAUGCAACUAAUUUAUGCAUGUACUCCGACAGUUUGGUUGUAGACGCGGCUUUCCUAUUGAAAUGUAAUGGAUAUUGGAACAAAUUUUAAAAAAGCAAGCAAGGAAAUUCAAUUCAAGCUACUAUAUUGGACUGGCCCAAAGACAAGCUGUUGAAGUUUUUGACAACAAAACAAUGCUCAUGGUCUUUUAAUCCACCCUUGAGUCCGCAUAUGGGAGGAGCUUGGGAAAGAUUAAUUCAAUCGGCUACAAAAUAUUUAUGUUUUCUGUUAAAAGAAAGAUUUCCUAAAGAAUACACAUUAAAAACAUUGUUUUGUGAAAUAUAGCACAUGAUAAAUAGCCGACCACUUUUCAAUGUACCAUCCGACUCAAUGGAUUCGGUACCAUUGACAUCUAAUGACAUUUUGAUUGGACCCAUUUUUUGGGGAUUCAUUUUAUUCAACAACAACUGAUGGC
rnacentral:lncRNA from 1 species